CUAGGUCUUAAAAGGGGACUAUAAAACACCAGCCAAUCUGAAAGGAUAUUUUCAGGUGAACCAGAACAGCACCUCCUCCCACUUAGGAAGUUCAUGAUUUCCAGAUCUCUGCAGAUUGCUGCCCAGAGGAGAAGACACCUUGCAUUCGAGUGGAAAUCGGACCUCUAAUCCAAGCAUAUUGCUUGCUCUUAAUCGCCAAAACAGGACUGCUAAUGAGGAAUGUAUUUGCAUAUGUUUGCAAAAAAAGCCGAAUCACCGAAAACUCAACCUGGAGACUCUCUACCUGUGGACACCCCCCCUCCCCCCCCCCAGGGUGGAGAAGAAGGAAGAAGAGUGUGGGAAAUAGGCUGGCUUUUGAAACUUCGGUAUUUUUUAUCUUGCCCCUCAAGAACUUUUUUUUAAAGAAAUGGAUUUGCCAUUUUUCUUAAUUUGCAGGACUGCCUUGGCGGCUUUGUUGGCGGGGACAAGGCCCACACCUGUGCCUCUCUCCUAUUGACUUACUUUUGAAUUCAAAGAAUCUAUUUAAGAAUUUAAUAUAUGAGGUUUUCUUUGAUUCCUCCUCAGUUCUUCUCAGAUUUCAGAGGAAAAAAAAAUUAUUUGAAUAAAGUGACCAGGGACUCA